rnacentral:rRNA from 1 species
GGGACACGAGAAAUCCUGUCUGAAGCUGGGUCGACCACGAUCCAACCCUAAAUACUAAUACCAGAUCGAUAGUGCACAAGUACCGUGAGGGAAAGGUGAAAAGAACUGAGGUGAUCAGAGUGAAAUAGAACCUGAAACCAUUUGCUUACAAUCAUUCAGAGCCCUAUGUAGCAAUACAGGGUGAUGGACUGCCUUUUGCAUAAUGAGCCUGCGAGUUGUGGUGUCUGGCAAGGUUAAGCAAACGCGAAGCCGUAGCGAAAGCGAGUCUGAAUAGGGCGCUUAGUCAGAUGCUGCAGACCCGAAACGAAGUGAUCUAUCCAUGAGCAAGUUGAAGCUAGUGUAAGAACUAGUGGAGGACUGA